rnacentral:rRNA from 1 species
AGAGUUGUCCUGGCUCAGGACGAACGCUGGCGGCGUGCCUAACACAUGCAAGUCGAGCGAUGAAGUUUCCUUCGGGAAACGGAUUAGCGGCGGACGGGUGAGUAACACGUGGGUAACCUGCCUUAUAGUGGGGGAUAGCCUUUCGAAAGGAAGAUUAAUACCGCAUAAGAUUGUAGUAUCGCAUGAUAUAGCAAUUAAAGGAGCAAUCCGCUAUAAGAUGGACCCGCGUCGCAUUAGCUAGUUGGUGAGGUAAUGGCUCACCAAGGCGACGAUGCGUAGCCGACCUGAGAGGGUGAUCGGCCACAUUGGGACUGAGACACGGCCCAGACUCCUACGGGAGGCAGCAGUGGGGAAUAUUGCACAAUGGGCGAAAGCCUGAUGCAGCAACGCCGCGUGAGUGAUGACGGCCUUCGGGUUGUAAAACUCUGUCUUCAGGGACGAUAAUGACGGUACCUGAGGAGGAAGCCACGGCUAACUACGUGCCAGCAGCCGCGGUAAUACGUAGGUGGCAAGCGUUGUCCGGAUUUACUGGGCGUAAAGGGAGCGUAGGCGGAUGUUUAAGUGGGAUGUGAAAUACUCGGGC